rnacentral:rRNA from 1 species
AUUGAACGCUGGCGGCAGGCCUAACACAUGCAAGUCGAGCGGAUGACGGGAGCUUGCUCCUUGAUUCAGCGGCGGACGGGUGAGUAAUGCCUAGGAAUCUGCCUGGUAGUGGGGGACAACGUUUCGAAAGGAACGCUAAUACCGCAUACGUCCUACGGGAGAAAGCAGGGGACCUUCGGGCCUUGCGCUAUCAGAUGAGCCUAGGUCGGAUUAGCUAGUUGGUGGGGUAAUGGCGCACCAAGGCGACGAUCCGUAACUGGUCUGAGAGGAUGAUCAGUCCCACUGGAACUGAGACACGGUCCAGACUCCUACGGGAGUCAGCAGUGGGGAAUAUUGGACAAUGGGCGAAAGCCUGAUCCUGCCAUGCCGCGUGUGUGAAGAAGGUCUUCGGAUUGUAAAGCACUUUAAGUUGGGAGGAAGGGCAGUAAGCUAAUACCUUGCUGUUUUGACGUUACCGACAGAAUAAGCACCGGCUAACUCUGUGCCAGCCGCCGCCGUAAAAC